CAUUCUGAGCCUCUCCUGCCUCUGACCCAGGAACUGAAGUCCAAGUGAGAGCAAGAAGAACAUGAGAAGCCCAUGGCCACUUCCAGUAGGCAGCCCAGGGGACAUGUGCAGGAGAGGAGAGACAUCCUUUUCAAUGAUAGCUUCUGAAAGUCAAUGAUGUCCCCUGAAAGAUCUUUUGGUCACAGCAAUGAAAAACCCGGCUCAACUACGGUUGAUCCCUCUUACCCGUUUCAGCAGUAGUGGCUGGACCCAUACAUAAAAGGAUAUACCUGAUUUCAAUGGGCGCCAUGGUAAUGGGGGCCACAGACUCACACAGGCAGCUGCUGUCUACCACCACCAUGAACAGAUUGCUGCUUGGGAUUUGCUGGAUGACAAAGGAUCUGUUGAGACAAGACAAUGAAAGAAGUACAACUCCUAACAACAAUGCCGGCCUCGUGCUUUAGGAUGACACCCAUUGCAUCCAGAACAGAUAAAAUUGAACUGAACUACAGAUCCACAUUUUCUCUGCAGUGAGCUUCCAGGAAAGAAAGAACAGAUGACUAGGAGCUACAGCCUGGCGACUUUUUCUACUGGAAGAGACACUACAUCAAGGACUGUCUUCAGCCUCAAUGAAAAGCAUCCCAUCAGGAACAAUGACCUCAUGUCACCCAAGACUUCAGACGGUAAAUGCUUGCUAUCACAUCUCUCACCUCAACUGGGUACCAGCUCCUGCUGAUGACAUACCACUUAGAGUUCAUAAAAACUGGGUGAUACUUGCCUUCCCCCAUGUUGACGAUUGAGAACCCACCAAGUAAAGGAACCCCCACUCUUUUACUGAAUCAUUAUAGAACAUUUUCUAUCGACCUAAGUAUGUUUAGAGAGAUCUCUUAGAAAUUGAGAUAUUUAGAAUUUGCUUGAUGUUUCUUCUUAAAAGAAAGUAAUGCCAAACUUGAUUUUAGUAAAACUAAGAAUGAUGAGAUUAUGUCCUCUCAUUAAUCAUUUUUGCUAUGAUGACUGCUUAUCCAGACCUUGAUCCAAACUGAAUCCUCCUUCAGAUUUUACACUGCCCCCAGAAAAUAAUUCUCUUAUUCUUUACCUAAAUUGUACCUAAGAAAAACUCCAGAUUGGAAGAGUCUGAUUUUAAACCUACUGAAGAAACUUACUUUUAUUUCAGAUCCAAACCCCUGUAGCCAAAACAACAGAGGUUCCUACAAGGGAUAAAGGAAGAAUAUUAACCCGAGUCCAACCAGGUGGAUUACUAUAUUUGCUACUGAUAGUGGAGACAAUAAGAUUUUUCAAAUUCCUGGAUAUAUGGGUCAAUUUGUUGCAGCUAUUCUGACAAACAUCUGCUCUGUGAGUGUGGCUGGGACCUAACCCUACCAUAUGAUCUCCAUGAAUUCAGACGACAUAAAUGUUCCUACCAGGCCCAGAAGACUAUUUAGAAUUCUACCUACUUUGGAGUCACUUCUAUGCUGCUGACCCUUAUAUAGGAUGUCAAAAAUUUUGGUUUGACUCUUCAUAUCCAAAUUGUACAAAAGUGAUUUGUUUCCAAUGACAAUAAUAGUCAUGGUGGAUUGAUCAAAAUUGGCCAGACACCUCACUGGUGAUGUAGGUACUUGACCAAAAAUUUAAGGGCAAGCUAAACUGGCUAUAAACAAAGACAUUCUUUAGAAGAGAAUAUGCUUUCAAGAUAAUACUACAUGUAGUGUGAAAAGAAUUGGAAAUUUUUAAAAGAAAAGUAUGUAUUACAAAAAAGGUACAAAAAAUAGUAAGCCAUUUAUACAGGACUGUUCCUGAACCCAAAGAUGAGAAAGAGCCUAUGCUUCAACAGGGUUAUUGACAAUGUUAGUAGAGGUGGAAUCUAAAGCAGCUAUGAGAAAAUGGUCAACACCUGUCAGUGCAAAGGUUAGGGUUAAUGAUUUAUGGAAAUAUUGUACAAAGGAUCAAUUAUGGAAAAUAACAGGAUUUAUAACCUAACACUACCUUAAAAGCUCAUGUUCCAUGAGUCUUUAAAAUAUCCCAUAGUACAGUUAGCUAGCACUGGAAAAAUGUUAAACCAUACCAUAUUCUACCAAUGGGAAGUAGAUAGGUAAUAUUUCAAAAUGACACUUAUUAGAAUUCCAUUUCCCUUUCUGACUGAGAUCUAAGAAAUGAGGUUGCUUAUGCUCACAAGUCUGGCCUUUUGUCCCUACUAUUACUAAAAUAUUUGUUACAUGGGAAAGGAACAGUUUUGUUGAGAAGCAAAUAAAAUUUCCUGACUUCUGCUAUAAUGUGACUGCCCGUGGAUUUCACCAAUAUGACAAAUCAAAUUAUUUGCAAAAAAGUAAGAGUUGCAACAAUCUGACAUUGAGGACCAAUCUUUCUUUGAAUUAGCUAUUCCACACAAGGUAAAUCUAUGGGGUCAAACUGUCCAGAAAAAUUUGAAUUGAUAUUUCAUAAAGUACACAGGGGGAAGACCUUAUUAUCACUAAAGGUAUGAUGCAUGCAGAAGACUUUUUUUUUCCUUAGUUGGGACACCUAGUUCCCUCAUUACUAUCUUUUCUCCUUCAGCUUGGUAGGAUGAUGGAGGUGGGGUUCAGGACAGGAGUCAAGUAGUCACAAUCCUCUUUGCUUUACGUCCCACUACCAUGGCAACUCCUACCACAGGUUGGGUGUUCUAAUUAGGUACCAUAAAGUAACCAAUAGGAGCGAAGUGGGCAAUAUUAUAAUUAGGUAUCAAAGUUACCAGUGGAAAAAAUGAGGCAGGGUCUUCAAUCAGGUCCAGAGGGUGGAGGGAAACACCUCACAACUUUAAGAAUCACCCAACAACGAGGCCUGGACCCUUUCUCUCAGUCUGCUCCACUUAAUGGAGCAUACUUGUUCUACUUCAAUGACUUAUUUUCUCCUUUACUACAUCUGUGCUUUGUCACUUCUGAGUGUCUUGCUCAAUUCUUUGUUCUGGACGCCUUACCAGUAACAAGGCCAUACUAUGCUCUUGGUUCUUUUAACUUCAAGUAUAAAAGUGAUAUGUCACACGUAACUUUUAUAUCCGAUACAAAGGAGGGAAAAAGAAGCACACUCAAAAUGAGUUCAUGAUGAUUACUGACACUAAUAUAGCCUCAUGACUUCUUCCUUAAUGGCUUUGAUAACUCGUGCCCUCUUCUAAAGACUACCUUCUUACAUAGUCAGCCUCCUCUUCACGAGCUUGUGAGAAUGAGCCUUCCUAGCUCCAUAAGACACAAAACAUUUAGCUUCUGAACACACAGAACAUGGUGCUUGGCCAAUGGGGGAACCAGGAAUUGAAGUUCUCUGAAGAAGCCACACUGUUAUUGAAGGUUCUGCAGAUUGUUUGAGGAGAGAGUCAGCAUUGUAGAUUGAGCACCAAAAUUCUCAGGGGCCAUCUUAGGCCCAUCAACUAGUCAUUUACGUUAACUUUCGUAUGUGACUUAACAUUUUUGUUAACUAGUAGGGAAACUUCUUGGAAUGUGACGCUAAUCUUAGUAGACCUCUAACCUCUACCAACCCUAAAGCUAAGAAUACCAUAAAAAUCAUAUCUAAAACCCACUUACAACUUUCUUUUGUUCUCCGACUAUGAAAGUUCAUGAGACCUCUUCUGUGGAGGAACCAGUCAGUCAGGGUUAACUUGAAUUCAUAUUCCUGGGCUAUGGUCACCCUAUUGGUUAAGAAUAAAUUAUUUUCCAAUUUUCUUCAAACAGAGUUUUUAAUUUAUAUCACUAAUGUUAUUACCCAAUCCAGUGAAGUAACAGUUUCAUUAAAUCCAGUUACUGGAAUGAAAUAGAAUUUAGCCUGACCAAAUUGUCAAUUUCUCCAUAAGUUUUACAUUAAUUCACAUUUCUUGUAAUAAAUUUGUUUAUUCUGCAGAA